AACGAACGCUGGCGGCAUGCCUAACACAUGCAAGUCGAACGAGACCUUCGGGUCUAGUGGCGCACGGGUGCGUAACGCGUGGGAACCUGCCCUUAGGUUCGGAAUAACUCCCCGAAAGGGGUGCUAAUACCGGAUAAUGUCUUCGGACCAAAGAUUUAUCGCCUUUGGAUGGGCCCGCGUUGGAUUAGCUAGUUGGUAGGGUAAAAGCCUACCAAGGCGACGAUCCAUAGCUGGUCUGAGAGGAUGAUCAGCCACACUGGGACUGAGACACGGCCCAGACUCCUACGGGAGGCAGCAGUGGGGAAUAUUGGACAAUGGGCGAAGGCCUGAUCGAGCAAUGCCGCGUGAGUGAUGAAGGCCUUAGGGUUGUAAAGCUCUUUUACCCGGGAUGAUAAUGACAGUACCGGGAGAAUAAGCUCCGGCUAACUCCGUG
rnacentral:rRNA from 1 species